GAGGGUAGAGCUCAGUGGUAGAGCACAUGCCUAGCAUGCACGAGGUCCUGGGUUCAAUCCCCAGUACAUCCA
rnacentral:tRNA from 1 species